UACCAGCACCCCGAGUGGUCGGGACGAUUAUUGGGCCUAAAGCAUCCGUAGCCGGCCUUACAAGUCCUCCGUUAAAUCCAGCUGCUUAACAGAUGGGCUGCGGGGGAUACUACAGGGCUAGGAGGCGGGAGAGGCAAGCGGUACUUUAUGGGUAGGGGUAAAAUCCGUUGAUCCAUAGAAGACCACCAGUGGCGAAGGCGGCUUGCCAGAACGCGCUCGACGGUGAGGGAUGAAAGCUGGGGAGCAACCGG
rnacentral:rRNA from 1 species